GUAGGGGGCUAGCGUUGUCCGGAAUCAUUGGGCGUAAAGCGCGCGUAGGCGGCCCGGUAAGUCCGUUGUGAAAGUCAAAGGCUCAACCUUUGAAAGCCGAUGGAUACUGCCGGGCUAGAGUCCGGAAGAGGCGAGUGGAAUUCCUGGUGUAGCGGUGGAAUGCGCAGAUAUCAGGAGGAACACCGAUAGCGAAGGCAGCUCGCUGGGACGGUACUGACGCUGAGGCGCGAAAGCGUGGGGAGCGAACAGGAUUAGAUACCCUGGUAGUCCACGCCGUAAACGAUGGGCACUAGGUGUGGGAGGUGUCGACUCCUCCCGUGCCGUCGCUAACGCACUAAGUGCCCCGCCUGGGGAGUACGGCCGCAAGGCUAAA
rnacentral:rRNA from 1 species